AUUGAACGCUGGCGGCAUGCUUUACACAUGCAAGUCGAACGGCAGCGCGGGCUUCGGCCUGGCGGCGAGUGGCGAACGGGUGAGUAAUACAUCGGAACGUGCCCAGUAGUGGGGGAUAGCUCGGCGAAAGCCGGAUUAAUACCGCAUACGACCUGAGGGUGAAAGCGGGGGAUCUUCGGACCUCGCGCUCUUGGAGCGUCCGAUGGCAGAUUAGCUAGUUGGUGGGGUAAAGGCCUACCAAGGCGACGAUCUGUAGCUGGUCUGAGAGGACGACCAGCCACACUGGGACUGAGACACGGCCCAGACUCCUACGGGAGGCAGCAGUGGGGAAUUUUGGACAAUGGGCGAAAGCCUGAUCCAGCAAUGCCGCGUGUGUGAUGAAGGCCUUCGGGUUGUAAAGCACUUUUGGCGGGAACGAAAAGGACUGUGCCAAUACCACGGUUCGAUGACGGUACCCGCAGAAUAAGCACCGGCUAACUACGUG
rnacentral:rRNA from 1 species